rnacentral:rRNA from 1 species
AGUGAACGCUGGCGGUAGGCCUAACACAUGCAAGUCGAACGGCAGCACAGUAAGAGCUUGCUCUUACGGGUGGCGAGUGGCGGACGGGUGAGGAAUACAUCGGAAUCUACUUUUUCGUGGGGGAUAACGUAGGGAAACUUACGCUAAUACCGCAUACGACCUACGGGUGAAAGCAGGGGAUCUUCGGACCUUGCGCGAUUGAAUGAGCCGAUGUCGGAUUAGCUAGUUGGCGGGGUAAAGGCCCACCAAGGCGACGAUCCGUAGCUGGUCUGAGAGGAUGAUCAGCCACACUGGAACUGAGACACGGUCCAGACUCCUACGGGAGGCGGCAGUGGGGAAUAUUGGACAAUGGGCGCAAGCCUGCUCCAGCCAUACCGCGUGGGUGAAGAAGGCCUUCGGGUUGUAAAGCCCUUUUGUUGGGAAAGAAAAGCAGCAGGUUAAUACCCCGCUGUUCUGACGGUACCCAAAGAAUAAGCACCGGCUAACUUCGUG